CACGCGCCGAACGCCUUUCCGAAGCCAAGGAACGGCCGCAUGCGUAGAGCGGAGCGGAGACGUAGCGUACGACUUGCGCCUUGGUGAUCAUCUCUAGCUCACCUCUUUGACAUCAGGAUUCUGAACAUCAUGUGACUGGAUGUAGGCAGCAAAACCAACAAAGGCAACAGCCAAUGAAAGGAGGCAAAAGAAGAAGGUGACCAGAGGUGGGUGUCGCUCCAGGCAGAUACGCAGGGAGCCCAGCAGGGAGCAGGUGACCAUGGUCAGCCCUAGGAAUGAGGGUAAGAAGGUUGCAGUGUCAUCCCAGCACUAGAAGAAGCUGAAAGGUCUGCUGGAACAGCCAGAAUCAAGGGAAACGAAAAAGGCUGGCAGUGUGCUACCUGUUCCCCUUUGCGCUUUGUGUAGUACAAUCAUAAGCUUUACUUUAUUAAAUAAAUAGAUUUUAAAAAGUCAAA